UGUUCUGUGGCUUAGUUGGUUAAAGCGCCGGUCAGGCGAAUACGGAGUCGUGGGUUCGAAUCCCACCAGAACGC
rnacentral:tRNA from 1 species